rnacentral:rRNA from 1 species
UACAGGGGUGCAAACGUUGCUCGGAAUCAUUGGGCGUAAAGCGCACGUAGGCGGUUCGUUAUGUCGGAUGUGAAAGCCCUUGGCUUAACCGAGGAAGUGCAUCCGAAAACUGGCGAGCUAGAGUACGAAAGAGGAUCGCGGAAUUCCCGGUGUAGAGGUGAAAUUCGUAGAUAUCGGGAGGAACACCGGUGGCGAAGGCGGCGAUCUGGGUCGAUACUGACGCUGAGGUGCGAAAGCGUGGGGAGCAAACA